UAGAGUUUGGAUCAUGGCUCAGAUUGAACGCUGGCGGCAGGCCUAACACAUGCAAGUCGAGCGGAAACGAUGGAAGCUUGCUUCCAGGCGUCGAGCGGCGGACGGGUGAGUAACGCAUGGGAAUCUGCCCGAUAGUGGGGGAUAACCUGGGGAAACCCAGGCUAAUACCGCAUACGUCCUACGGGAGAAAGCAGGGGAUCUUCGGACCUUGCGCUAUCGGAUGAGCCCAUGUCGGAUUAGCUUGUUGGUGAGGUAAUGGCUCACCAAGGCGACGAUCCGUAGCUGGUCUGAGAGGAUGAUCAGCCACAUCGGGACUGAGACACGGCCCGAACUCCUACGGGAGGCAGCAGUGGGGAAUAUUGGACAAUGGGCGAAAGCCUGAUCCAGCCAUGCCGCGUGUGUGAAGAAGGCCCUCGGGUUGUAAAGCACUUUCAGUGGGGAAGAAAGCCUUGGGAUUAAUACUCCCGAGGAAGGACAUCA
rnacentral:rRNA from 1 species